rnacentral:rRNA from 1 species
GACGAACGCUGGCGGCGCGCCUAAUACAUGCAAGUCGAACGCUUCUUUCCUCCCGAGUGCUUGCACUCAAUUGGAAAGAGGAGUGGCGGACGGGUGAGUAACACGUUGGUAACCUACUCAUCAGAGGAGGAUAACACUUGGAAACAGGUGCUAAUAACGCAUAAAAGUUUAUGACGCAUAGCAUCAGAGUGAAAGGCGCUGUCGGGUGUCGCUGAUGGAUGGACCCGCGGUGCAUGAGCUAGUUGGCGAGGUUACGGAUCACCAAGGCCACUACUCAUAGCCGACGUGAGAGGGUGAUCGCCCACACUGGGACUGGGACACGGCGCAUACUCCUGCGGGAGGCAGCAGUAGGGAAUCUUCGGCAAUGGACGAAAGUCUGACCGAGCAACGCCGCGUGAGUGAAGAAGGUUUUCGGAUCGUAAAACACUGUUGUUAGAGAAGAACAAGGACGUUAGUAACUGAACGUCCCCUGACGGUAUCUAACCAAAAAGCCACGGCUAACUACGUG